rnacentral:rRNA from 1 species
UACUCGAGUGGCGAACGGGUGAGUAACACGUGGGUGAUCUGCCCUGCACUUCGGGACAAGCCUGGGAAACUGGGUCUAAUACCGGAUAGGAGCCAUUUUAGUGUGAUGGUUGGAAAGUUUUUUCGGUGUAGGAUGAGCUCGCGGCCUAUCAGCUUGUUGGUGGGGUAAUGGCCUACCAAGGCGGCGACGGGUAGCCGGCCUGAGAGGGUGGACGGCCACAUUGGGACUGAGAUACGGCCCAG